rnacentral:rRNA from 1 species
UACGGGGGGGGCAAGCGUUGUUCGGAAUUACUGGGCGUAAAGGGCUCGUAGGCGGCUAACUAAGUCAGACGUGAAAUCCCUCGGCUUAACCGGGGAACUGCGUCUGAUACUGGAUGGCUUGAGUUUGGGAGAGGGAUGCGGAAUUCCAGGUGUAGCGGUGAAAUGCGUAGAUAUCUGGAGGAACACCGGUGGCGAAGGCGGCAUCCUGGGCCAACACUGACGCUGAGUGAGCGAAAGCGAGGGGAGCAAACGGG